rnacentral:tRNA from 3 species
GCUUCCCUAGCUCAGUUGGUAGAGCACCUGACUCUUAAUCAGGGUGUCAAGGGUUCGAGCCCCUUGGGGAGCA